rnacentral:rRNA from 1 species
UGCCAGACUCCUACGGGAGGCAGCAGUGGGGAAUAUUGCACAAUGGGGGAAACCCUGAUGCAGCGACGCCGCGUGAAGGAUGAAGUAUUUCGGUAUGUAAACUUCUAUCAGCAGGGAAGAAAAUGACGGUACCUGACUAAGAAGCCCCGGCUAACUACGUGCCAGCAGCCGCGGUAAUACGUAGGGGGCAAGCGUUAUCCGGAUUUACUGGGUGUAAAGGGAGCGUAGACGGCGAUGCAAGCCAGGAGUGAAAGCCCGGGGCCCAACCCCGGGACUGCUCUUGGAACUGCGUGGCUGGAGUGCAGGAGGGGCAGGCGGAAUUCCUGGUGUAGCGGUGAAAUGCGUAGAUAUCAGGAGGAACACCGGUGGCGAAGGCGGCCUGCUGGACUGCAACUGACGUUGAGGCCCGAAAGCGUGGGGAGCAAACAGGAUUAGAUACCCUUGUA